rfam:Picea glauca, whole genome shotgun sequence.
AUGUAGAUUCCUACAACAUAGUGCUAAUGAACCGGAUCCCAUUAGAACUAUGCAGUUAAGCGUGCUCAGGCUAGAGUAGUACUCAGAUGGGUGACCACUUGGGAAUUCCUAGUGUUUUACAUG